rnacentral:lncRNA from 1 species
CCCUCCUGGAGGGAUGAUGGUUAUAGCCGGCAGCAGAUCAAAUACCUGCCGCUGGUGGAUCCCAGGUUGGCAGCAUGGAGCCCCUGCCGCUCUGUACUCCUUUCCAGUAGAAAGUCAGGAGACUAGAAAUGGUCCUAGGGCAUCCUCGAGAGUGUUGGAGAAGAGUAUGAACUGGAAUCAUCUGGGGACUCCUCUCGCAGGAUGUUCCCAGUUGCGACUCCGAGCUCACCUGUUGGCCUCGCCACGCCCCCAUCGCGCCUUGGGGAGGGGCUUGGAGCGCGCCCCGCGCAGGGACUUCCGGGAGAUGUGGUCCCGCCGUCCGGCCUCGGCGCCUCCUUGCGCCCGGGCAUCGGCUGCUGGGCCUUCUGGGUCCGCCGCGCGGUUGGGCCUCGUUGGUUCCGUGAAACAGCGGCUCGUGAAGGCCCCGUGGCGGCCUGCAUGCCCAAGACUCCCAGGCCUGUGGAGGUAUAAGAGUGGAUCUGCAGAGAUUGGGUGUGAGGAUUUCUGGCAUGUGACCCAGUCCUCACUGCUCCUGGUUCCCUAUUCUGCCCUCUUUGGAAUCUUCUGGCCCUGA